CGGUGGAGCAUGUGGUUUAAUUCGAUGAUACGCGAGGAACCUUACCUGGGCUCAAAUGUAUGUUGACGUAUUCUGAAAGGGAUACUUCUUCGGACAAUAUACAAGGUGCUGCAUGGUUGUCGUCAGCUCGUGCCGUGAGGUGUCGGGUUAAGUCCCAUAACGAGCGCAACCCCUAUCAUUAGUUGCCAUCAGGUCAAGCUGGGGACUCUAAUGAAACUGCCUACGCAAGUAGUGAGGAAGGUGGGGAUGACGUCAAAUCAGCACGGCCCUUACGUCCAGGGCUACACACGUGCUACAAUGGCCGGUACAAAGGGCAGCUACCUGGUGACAGGAUGCUAAUCUCAAAAGCCGGUCUCAGUUCGGAUCGGAGUCUGCAACCCGACUCCGUGAGGCUGGAAUCGCUAGUAAUCGCGCAUCAGCCAUGGCGCGGUGAAUACGUUCCCGGGCCUU
rnacentral:rRNA from 1 species